rnacentral:rRNA from 1 species
UGGGGAAUUUUCCGCAAUGGGCGAAAGCCUGACGGAGCAAUGCUGCGUGGAGGUGGAAGGCCUACGGGUCGUCAACUUCUUUUCUCGGAGAAGAAACAAUGACGGUAUCUGAGGAAUAAGCAUCGGCUAACUCUGUGCCCG